CAUCAAGCAUUCAUAAAAGAUAAGAACUAAAGGAAACUAGAAUAUUAAUAAAUACAAUGUAAGGAAAUGUGAAUCAAAACCACUAGGAAGAGUCAUUUAAAGAUCACUACCCCACCCUGACUCUCACAACUCAACUCCCUAUUCUAACAUGUAAUUGUGCACCAACCAAACCAAUAAUUAUCAAACUAUUCCAACGGAGAUGAUUUAUGUAUUCAAACACGAUACAACAAUCAAGUGAAACUAGUCACAUAGGAGCAUCAAGCAGAAUAACAGAAAGCACGAUGAUUUCACGAAACUUCACCCAUUUUUUACCCAAAGCUUGCCAAACUUGUCUGCUAAAAAAAUCCAUUACCCCACACGAUUAAAGAUUCCCUCAUAAACUCAACUAAGAUUAAGAAUAUUACCAGGGAACGUUAAGUGAGGAUAAUGAUCUUUAGAAUAUAAUACCAUUUCAGCGCUAAAAUCAUGGGGUGACAAUAACCAGCAGCCAAAAAUCAGAAAGAGAAAUCCAUUAAACCCCAAACUACAUCUGAUUAGCCUAUCUUAAAAUGGCUCCCUUUAUGGCUUUGAUUCAUAAUACAUAUAAGAGUAGAAGGAAGAAGUGAACCUGCUCGCAAUCAAAUACAACUAAAUCCGGCAGCGAAAAUCCACGACAAACAGCAGCCAAGCAACAGGAAUUAUCAAUCACGAACGGACCUCGAUCGGCGACGAACUCAGAAUGACAAACGACGACCCUAAAAUCUUGUUUCGUUUUCUGAUUUUAUCAAUGGACCGACCAUCAGAGGCGAACUCGAGCUCAAUCGGAAUUUGUAUGUUCAGGUGUUGUUUUGGACUGACUUUCGGAAGAAGGGGUGGAGAAGUUAUGUUGUUCUGGGAGUCGCGGCUGUGUUCUGGUUGUUGUGGUGGUCGUGAGUGAGUUGAAGAAGCAGCAGCGGCUGCUUGUUGGUUGUCGCUGGUCGUUGCUUGGGAAGGAGAAGGGUGUUUUGGGUGUGUAGCGUUGGAAGUUCAGGGGGUUCGAGGGUUUUUUGUUGUCGUGGGGUGUGGGUGGUCGAUUUUCCGGCGAUUUUUGAGAAGUUCACAAGGUGGCCCGCCGCUGGGUGCAUGGAGGAGAUGAGAUGUUGAAGAUGAAGAGAGCCGACGGGGCCUU
rnacentral:lncRNA from 1 species